rnacentral:misc_RNA from 1 species
CAAGAAACGAGGCCGAUGCGUGCGCUCGCCCGCCCGGCCCCGCUCCUAUACCUUGCCUACUGCACCGUUUGUUGCUUCCUGGCGGCGGAUCUGCUCGCCGCCAGGGACGAUUGAUACUAGCAACCCUGUAUAGAAGCCAUUGAAGCUCUGAGAAAACGGCGAAAUCAUA